UGCUCUCGGGUGACGAGUGGCGGACGGGUGAGUAAUGUCUGGGAAACUGCCCGAUGGAGGGGGAUAACUACUGGAAACGGUAGCUAAUACCGCAUAACGUCGCAAGACCAAAGAGGGGGACCUUCGGGCCUCUUGCCAUCGGAUGUGCCCAGAUGGGAUUAGCUUGUAGGUGAGGUAACGGCUCACCUAGGCGACGAUCCCUAGCUGGUCUGAGAGGAUGACCAGCCACACUGGAACUGAGACACGGUCCAGACUCCUACGGGAGGCAGCAGUGGGGAAUAUUGCACAAUGGGCGCAAGCCUGAUGCAGCCAUGCCGCGUGUAUGAAGAAGGCCUUCGGGUUGUAAAGUACUUUCAGCGGGGAGGAAGGGAGUGAGGUUAAUAACCUUAUUCAUUGACGUUACCCGCAGAAGAAGCACCGGCUAACUCCGUGCCAGCAGCCGCGGUAAUACGGAGGGUGCAAGCGUUAAUCGGAAUUACUGGGCGUAAAGCGCACGCAGGCGGUCUGUCAAGUCGGAUGUGAAAUCCCCGGGCUCAACCUGGGAACUGCAUUCGAAACUGGCAGGCUGGAGUCUUGUAGAGGGGGGUAGAAUUCCAGGUGUAGCGGUGAAAUGCGUAGAGAUCUGGAGGAAUACCGGUGGCGAAGGCGGCCCCCUGGACAAAGACUGACGCUCAGGUGCGAAAGCGUGGGGAGCAAACAGGAGUAGAUACCCUGGUAGUCCACGCUGUAAACGAUGUCGACUUG
rnacentral:rRNA from 1 species